AGCAUAUCAAUAAGCGGAGGAAAAGAAACCAACAGGGAUUGCCUUAGUAACGGCGAGUGAAGCGGCAAUAGCUCAAAUUUGAAAGCUGGCCCCUUCGGGGUCCGCGUUGUAAUUUGUAGAGGAUGAUUCGGCGAGGGCUCCCGUCUAAGUCCCUUGGAACAGGGCGUCAUAGAGGGUGAGAAUCCCGUAUGUGAUGGGCUGCCUUAGCCAUGUGAAUCUCCUUCGACGAGUCGAGUUGUUUGGGAAUGCAGCUCUAAAUGGGAGGUAAAUUUCUUCUAAAGCUAAAUACCGGCCAGAGACCGAUAGCGCACAAGUAGAGUGAUCGAAAGAUGAAAAGCACUUUGGAAAGAGAGUUAAAAAGUACGUGAAAUUGUUGAAAGGGAAGCGCUUGCAGCCAGACUUGUCCGCAGUUGCUCAGCUUGUCUCCUGACAGGCGUACUCUUCUGCGGCCAGGCCAGCAUCAGUUCGGGCGGUCGGAUAAAGACCUAGGGAAUGUAGCUCCUCUCGGGGAGUGUUAUAGCCCUGGGUGCAAUGCGGCCAGCCUGGACUGAGGAUCUCGCUUCGGCUAGGAUGCUGGCGUAAUGGCUGUAAGCGGCCCGUCUUGAAACACGGACCAAGGAGUCUAACAUCUAUGCGAGUGUUUGGGUGUCAAACCCAUGCGCGUAAUGAAAGUGAACGGAGGUGGGAACCCUCACGGGUGCACCAUCGACCGAUCCUGAUGUCUUCGGAUGGAUUUGAGUAAGAGCAUAGCUGUUGGGACCCGAAAGAUGGUGAACUAUGCCUGAAUAGGGUGAAGCCAGAGGAAACUCUGGUGGAGGCUCGCAGCGGUUCUGACGUGCAAAUCGAUCGUCAAAUUUGGGUAUAGGGGCGAAAGACUAAUCGAACCAUCUAGUAGCUGGUUCCUGCCGAAG
rnacentral:rRNA from 1 species